rnacentral:rRNA from 1 species
AUUGAACGCUGGCGGCAGGCCUAACACAUGCAAGUCGAGCGGAUGAAGGGAGCUUGCUCCUGGAUUCAGCGGCGGACGGGUGAGUAAUGCCUAGGAAUCUGCCUGGUAGUGGGGGAUAACGUCCGGAAACGGGCGCUAAUACCGCAUACGUCCUGAGGGAGAAAGUGGGGGAUCUUCGGACCUCACGCUAUCAGAUGAGCCUAGGUCGGAUUAGCUAGUUGGUGGGGUAAAGGCCUACCAAGGCGACGAUCCGUAACUGGUCUGAGAGGAUGAUCAGUCACCCCUGAACCUGGACACCGUCCCGAACCCCUACGGAGGCAGCAGUGGGGAAUAUUGGACAAUGGGCGAAAGCCUGAUCCAGCCAUGCCGCGUGUGUGAAGAAGGUCUUCGGAUUGUAAAGCACUUUAAGUUGGGAGGAAGGGCAGUAAGUUAAUACCUUGCUGUUUUGACGUUACCAACAGAAUAAGCACCGGCUAACUUCGUG